AUCUCGGUGGUGAGUGGUAGCACGCGUCCCCAGUAGGAAUGAAACGCGGGUUCGAUUCCCGCCUGAAAUA